rfam:Nadsonia fulvescens var. elongata DSM 6958 unplaced genomic scaffold NADFTscaffold_1, whole genome shotgun sequence.
GCGGUUUUAGCUCAGUUGGGAGAGCGUCAGACUGAAGUUAAAACUUCAGUCCAGUUAAUCUGAAGGUCCAGUGUUCGAUCCACUGAAACCGCA